AAUGGCAGGUGGACAGCCAACCUUUGCCUUUGUGCCAAGUCUCCUAAGAACAAACAUGCAGAGCCUGCUCCAAGUUGGGCAAAGGUCCAAUUCCCUGUCUUCCCCUUAGAAGGUAGUCUCUGGAGACUCUGCCUUGAAUAGUAGAAUUGUGUCUGAGGUGUUUUUGUUUGUGGGGUUUUCAUGUGCUUUCUUUUUUAUCUUCCCUAGGAAAAAAGAACUGAUCAUUGGCAAAAAGCUGAGGAUGACAACCUUAGGGGAUGAAAGGCUGUCUUUUCGCACCCUUCUGAGCUUUUCUGCCGGCUCCCAGCUGGGAGAAACCAACACGAUGAAAGGUCAUUCACGGACACCCAUGGACCAGUUGGCAUGCACUUCCUCCCUGAAGCCCCAGGCUCAGCCAAAGCUGAUUUUGGGAUAACCAGCUGCAGAGAGGAGCUGCCCACUCCAGGGCCUCUUCUCUGCUAAGAGCUGAACACUUGAUGUAACGAGCUGCCUGCAGAGAGGAGCUAGCUACCCACUCCAGGGCCUCCUCUGAGCUAUUGUGUCAAUAAAGCUCCUCUUCACCUUGCUCAUCCUCCACUUGUCUGCAUACUUCAUUCUUCUUGGAUGUGGAUAAAACUUGAUACCUGUGGAAUGGUGGGCUGAAAGACCUAUAACACAAACAGGGCUGAAACACACCCCUUGCUCGCCAUGUUGCAAGUGAAGGGGAGUGAAGAGUUGCAGCCUUUCAGUGAGCCCAGACCUGGGAGCUGCUGAGCCAAGGCUGU
rnacentral:lncRNA from 1 species